CACGUAGGGCGCAAGCGUUGUCCGGAAUUAUUGGGCGUAAAGAGCUCGUAGGCGGUCUGUUGCGUCCGCUGUGAAAACUCGGGGCUUAACCCCGAGCCUGCAGUGGAUACGGGCAGACUAGAGGUAGGUAGGGGAGAAUGGAAUUCCCGGUGUAGCGGUGAAAUGCGCAGAUAUCGGGAGGAACACCGGUGGCGAAGGCGGCACUCUGGGACGGUACUGACGCUGAGACGCGAAAGCGUGGGGAGCGAACAGG
rnacentral:rRNA from 1 species